AAGUCAGAGCAAUUUGAUUACUGUCAUGGUUAUCUUGGUGUUUAAAACGCCAGAAUACCGAGCGAGCAUAAUUUCAUCGUGGUCAAACAAACAGCUGAAUUACAACAAUGCGAAUAAAAAUUAUUAAACUGCAUUACCCGUCCAUAAGGCAUGUGCGAAAAACAAGAUAAAAUAAUGCCGUUGAAACGCUGAGCUUACACAACUAAUCAAUAGCUACUAGCAUUCAAACUUAGUUGGUUUUAAAAAUUAGAAAGAUUGAUUAAUGCAACUCAUACCUUGGUUCUCUUAUUGAAUUCGUCAAAGUACCAGUGUUUCGUGGAACCGUGUUCAGUUAACAACGACAGCAAUAAACUGACGAAUGAAUGGCUACUUCUGAUAGCUUCCAGAACCUCCAGUAUGUCGUUCCAGGUGGGUGUUCAGAUAUUAAUGAUUUCAGGUCUAUGUGUGACUGGUACAUGAACAUAUUUUUUCCCGAUUGGUUGGAAAACAAUACGCCCAAAGGAGUUUACCUUGUACCUCCUCUACCUCUAUCAAUGCCUCCUAACCCGCCUGAGGGAUCUUCAGGAGGUCAAAAAUCUGACAAUGUCGGAGACAAACAGUACAUUAAUUUCAGAACAGGACAAAAAUCGAAAAUCGAAGAAUUUAAUUUCGUGCAAAAAAUCCAAAAAUACGCCGUAGAAAAUGAAUUGCCAAUGUUCAUUUUUCACGGACUUGCUGUUGACAAAUUGCAAUGGGACAUGAUUUUAGCAGUUGCAAAACAUGAAAUGCCUUCCCAAUGCUUGGUCGACUUGCGAAAUAGUUCUAAAAUUAAACUCAACCAUAAAGGUUUCCCCGAAAACUUAGAGAUUGAUUGCAUGACUAUUGACCCAAAAAAUGGAGUUGUCUUGUGGGAGAUCAAAAGUCGCAGUUAUCAAGGUCAAGCGACGAAAGGUUUGAAAAAAAUCAAUCAGGCCCUCAAACAGCUGAACAGAGACGAAUUAUUUGUUUCUUGUAUUUCAAAACAUUUCUGCUCUUCGAGUCAUGCUGUUAAAACAAAAAAAAUUGUCGUCUUACUUGAAGACAAAAUCUCAGCAGAUGAAAACCUUGAGUUUGAAAAUUUUCGCGAAAUCUCAGCAGAUGAAAACCUUGAGUUUGAAAAUUUUCGCGAAUCUUACAAAAUUCUAGAUGCUUCAAAACUGGGAACGUGGGAGAGUUUUUCGAAUUGGUUUCGCUCCGAGAUCGAAUUUGAAACUCCCAGUAAUCCGGAACAAACAUACAAAACACUUGUUCCCAUAAUGGUUGGCAUAAGCGUUUCGGUUUCAGUAAAAUGCGAGAACACAGCUGAAGUUCGACCAACAAAAACUUAUUUUGAAGUUCGACCAACAAAAACUUAUUUUGAAAAUCUUUCUCAUGCUAAAGCAGUGCAAAAACUGGAUUCAGAAAUUUCUGAACAAAAGUUAUCGCGAGACAAAAAGCCGUUCAGCGACCUGGUUUCGACAUCUGAGCUAUCAUUCGCAAAAACCUCAAAGUCUUCGAAGCUUCUUUUCUUGACCCCACGGCAACAAGAUGUCUUAAGUUCUUCCAAUAACGGAACGAAGCUGAUAAUCGGACCGGCAGGGACAGGAAAAACUAUUUUGACGCUUCAUAAAAUCAUUAAUUUGUGUAAAACACAACCGGAAGACAAAAUACUUCUGCUCUGCAGCGGAAAAUUUAUCGAGUCAUACUGUAAAAUGCUAGAGGACAACGAAAUUUCAUGUGAAAGGCUAAUGAUGGAUGGUCGGUGUUAUAAGGAGGAGAAAAUUUGGAAACGCGAAUAUUUGACACGCACGGAUUACCGACCUUACAAAGGCAAAGUCUUCGAAUUUGUGUACGAACCGCUAUCUUCAGAUCUUCAAACGAAACAGAGCAUCAACACAAAAGCAUUUGGUCAAAAGCAAGUCAUCAUUGGGGAAACGACAGCUUUUCUAAACUCCCUAAAUGAAAAGGCUAAACAGUUUGUUUUGAAAAAAACUAAAAAAACUAAUGUUACAGAAGACUAUCGAUCAGAGACAUCACGCUGGGUUAUGAAAACACAUUUGGUCAUUGAUGAUUGUGAUUUACCCGUAAUUUGUGAGAGCCAAUUGAACCCCUUAAGUCUUUUAACCAGCGAUCAAUUUCUUACCUGGUUAGUUACUGACAUUCACCAAUCAAAUAAAACACUGAUUUCGAACAUAACGCACAUCAAAAAAUUGAGGUCGUCAAAAAGUGUUGAAGUUUUUAUUCUCGAAGAAGUUCUACGAAACACGGUUCAAAUUAACCAAAUGACCCGCCGACUCGUUGAAUACAUGAAUCGCAGUCUAGAAGACGACGGGCACGUUUACCCUGGUACUUUAAUAGAUGUAAAGCAAGGAUCUAAUUUCCAGGGACCUCCGAUAACUAUUUUUGAGCUUAAAAAAAACAUUGCAUCUCGAGGACUUUACCCAACUAAACUUAUAGCGUUCCUUCUAUGUCAAAUGAUGAAAGAAGGAAUGCAAGCUGGUGACAUUCAUUUUUUGACAUCUGGUGAGGGUGCAAAUUUUUUUAAAUUUUUGGGGAAAACCAUUCGCCUGGAGUAUCCCGAGCUUUUGUCGCAACUGGGAGUUAACGAUGAAACAGAAGUUGACUGGUCCAGUUUCUGUUCGCAGAUUUAUAUAACAAAGUCAUCCGAAUGGGAAAGGGUUAUUAUUGACGGUCGAUUCGAUGAAGAAAAUCGUCUUAAUUCGCUUAAUUAUGGUAAAUUCGAUGAAUCUGAUAUGAUAAACAUCUUAUAUCUGGCAUGUACACGCGCACGAUCUCAACUUUACAUUAUUGCCUAUCCAACGUUUAGCGACCUGCUGUCAGAGAAACUUGGUAUGCCGAUGGAAAAUCUGAUAGUUCAGAAGUACCAAUGGUGCGAAAAACACAACGAAUUGAAAAGGAGCAAUGAUGGAAGUGAUUCAGAAGAAGAAAUCGAGAGAGGUGGAAAGAAGUUCAAAUUUUUUUCUAAUUGAAUCAGAAGCAGAAUAUGAGAACUGCCAAUCCAGCUCGGCUUCAGAUCGAUGAUAAAACCCUACAAAGUUCCAUAAAGCAGAGAAAACAGAUUUUUAACAGUCGCUGUAAAAUAUUGCUUAUAAAGUAGUUCGUUGGUAGUUAGACUGAUUAACGUUUGUUAAUUUGAUCAAAGGUUUCUUAACAUGUUUAUAUGUUGUUAGAAUUCGGCCUGCUAAUUGAAGCAAAAUAGCUAAAAUUUCUGAAAUAUAAAGUGUUUUAUUUUAACAUUCGAAUUGGGUCAGUUAAACUCCGUGACUAGAUUAAUGUAAUUUGGUGUUAAAAUAUAUUUUAAAAAAACAUGUUUGAAAUAAACAGCGGUAAAUAAACUCAGAUUUUAUUUAAACGAAAGUUUUGAAAUCAUUUGCGGGAGGCCAGAAGGUCAUUUGAUUUGUUUAUUGACACUGAAAAGGCAAAGCAUUUAAAAACUGAAUCAAGAAAUUUUUUGUUCUGUUUUUUUUUACAGUUCAAUGAAAUUCCGUGAAUUUCUAACACACGUGAGCCUGUCUAAAACAGUUUUUGUAUGACUGCUACUUGUCAUUUCUUAAUUUACUCUGUAUCAUCACUUCGUUUUCAUUUAAAUCUAAUCUUUGACUCAUAUCGUUUUAGUUACGAGCAUCGCUUUGAUCUGAAGUUGUCUAUUUUUAAUUGGUUGUCUCUUUGUUCAUACCGUUGUUACAAUUCAUUUAGAAAUACCCUUUCAAUUUAACGCUUUUGACAUUUCAA